GAUGAACGCUGGCGGCGUGCCUAAUACAUGCAAGUCGAACGAGACCUUCGGGUCUAGUGGCGAACGGGUGAGUAACACGUUGGUACCUGCCUCGAAGUGGGGAAUAACUGCCCGAAAGGGUGGCCAAUACCGCAUAAUACCGCAAGGUUAAAGCAGUAAUGCGCUUCGAGAGGGGCCUGCGUCCCAUUAGCUUGUUGGUAGUGUAAUGGACUACCAAGGCGACGAUGGGUAGCUGGAUCGAGAGGUUGACCAGCCACACUGGGACUGAGAUACGGCCCAGACUCUUACGGGAGGCAGCAGUAAGGAAUCUUCCACAAUGGACGAAAGUCUGAUGGAGCAACGCCGCGUGCAGGAUGACGGCCUUCGGGUUGUAAACUGCUUUUAUAUGGGAAGAUUAUGACGGUACCAUAUGAAUAAGCACCGGCUAACUACGUGCCAGCCGCCGCCGUAA
rnacentral:rRNA from 1 species